rnacentral:rRNA from 1 species
CCUCCUUUUUCCCGCUUUCCUCGGAAUUACUGGGCGUAAAGCGUGCGUAGGUGGUUUGUUAAGUCUGUUGUGAAAGCCCCGGGCUCAACCUGGGAAUGGCAAUGGAUACUGGCAAGCUAGAGUGCGGUAGAGGGUAGUGGAAUUCCCGGUGUAGCGGUGAAAUGCGUAGAGAUCGGGAGGAACACCAGUGGCGAAGGCGGCUACCUGGACCAGCACUGACACUGAGGCACGAAAGCCAGGGGAGCGAACGGGA